AUACCUUUCUCGGCCUUUUGGCUAAGAUCAAGUGUAGUAUCUGUUCUUAUCAGUUUAAUAUCUGAUACGUGGGCCAUCGGCUCACAUGAUAUUAAAUUAAUUUUUCUAGGGGGGGGGGGCCGUUACAGUAGCUUGCUAUUGGGGCUCUUGAGCGUCGCCCAUGCGUUGCACUGUUGCUUGGGCCUGGCGCACCCCGC
rnacentral:snRNA from 1 species